GGCUUCGUAGUCGAGUAGUAAGGACACUUGCCUCUCAUCCUGGAGUCCCAGGUUCAAUCUCUGGUCGAGGAUCU